AGCUCCAAUAGCGUAUAUUAAAGUUGUUGCAGUUAAAAAGCUCGUAGUUGGAUUUGUGGCUGUCGCCAGCGGCCUAUCACUCAGUGUUAGUGCUUGCCGGCGUCGCCAUCCUUGGGUGGAGCCCGUGUGGCAUUAGGUUGUCGUGCGGGGGAUGCCCAUCGUUUACUGUGAGAAAAUUAGAGUGUUCAAAGCAGGCUUAUGCCGUUGAAUAUGUUAGCAUGGAAUAAUAAGAUAGGACCUCGGUACUAUUUUGUUGGUUUGCGCACCGAGGUAAUGAUUAAUAGGGACAGUUGGGGGUAUUCGUAUUCCAUUGUCAGAGGUGAAAUUCUUGGAUUUCUGGAAGACGAACUACUGCGAAAGCAUUUACCAAGGAUGUUUUCAUUAAUCAAGAACGAAAGUA
rnacentral:rRNA from 1 species